UACGUAGGGGGCAAGCGUUGUCCGGAAUCAUUGGGCGUAAAGAGCGUGUAGGCGGCUCGGUAAGUCCGCUGUGAAAGUCCAGGGCUCAACCCUGGAAUGCCGGUGGAAACUGUCGAGCUAGAGUCCGGAAGAGGCGGGUGGAAUUCCUGGUGUAGCGGUGAAAUGCGCAGAUAUCAGGAGGAACACCAAUGGCGAAGGCAGCUCGCUGGGACGGUACUGACGCUGAGACGCGAAAGCGUGGGGAGCAAACAGG
rnacentral:rRNA from 1 species